rnacentral:rRNA from 1 species
GAUGAACGCUAGCGGCAGGCUUAACACAUGCAAGUCGAGGGGCAGCGCGGGAUAGCAAUAUCCUGGCGGCGACCGGCGGACGGGUGCGUAACGCGUGAGCGACAUGCCCGUUGCCCGGGGACAACCGGUGGAAACGCCGACUAAUCCCCGAUGGGAUAUUGUGCCGCAUGGCACGAUAUUGAAAGUUACGGCGGCGACGGAUUGGCUCGCGUCCGAUUAGCUUGUUGGCGGGGUAACGGCCCACCAAGGCUGCGAUCGGUAGGGGUUCUGAGAGGAAGGCCCCCCACAAGGGGACUGAGACACGGCCCAUACGCCAACGGGAGGCAGCAGUGAGGAAUAUUGGUCAAUGGGCGGAAGCCUGAACCAGCCAUGCCGCGUGCGGGAAGGAGGCCCUAUGGGCUGUGAACCGCUUUUGCCUGGGGGCAAUAAGGGCGUCGCGCACGUCCGAUGAGGGUACCAGGCGAAUAAGCAUCGGCUAACUCCGUG